AAAUGCGAUAAGUAAUGUGAAUUGCAGAAUUCAGUGAAUCAUCGAAUCUUUGAACGCACCUUGCGCUCCUUGGUAUUCCUUGGAGCAUGCCUGUUUGAGUAUCAUGAAAUCUUCAAAGUAAAUCUUUUGUUAACUCAAUUGGUUUCUACUUUGGUAUUGGAGGUCUUUGCAGCUUCACACCUGCUCCUCUUUGUUCAUUAGCUGGAUCUCAGUGUUAUGCUUGGUUCCACUCGGCGUGAUAAGUUAUCUAUCGCUGAGGACACUGUAAAAGGUGGCCAAGGUAAAUGCAGAUGAACCGCUUCUAAUAGUCCAUUGACUUGGACAAUACUUUUAAGAUCUGAUCUCAAAUCAGGUAGGACUACCCGCUGAACUUAAGC
rnacentral:misc_RNA from 1 species